rnacentral:rRNA from 1 species
ACGCUCGACACCUACGGGAGCAGCAGUGGGGAAUAUUGCACAAUGGGGGAAACCCUGAUGCAGCGACGCCGCGUGGAGGAAGAAGGUCUUCGGAUUGUAAACUCCUGUUGUUGGGGAAAAAGAGGAUGGUACCCAACAAGGAAGUGACGGCUAACUACGUGCAGCAGCCGCGGUAAUCUGAGCGGGCUGGCAAGGC